rnacentral:rRNA from 1 species
UACAUAGGGGGCGAGCGUUAUUCGGAAUUAUUGGGCGUAAAGGGCGCGUAGGCGGCUUUUCAAGUGACGGGUGAAAUCCCUCGGCUUAACCGAGGAACUGCCUGUCAGACUGGAAGGCUUGAGACCGGGAGAGGUGAGUGGAAUUCCCAGUGUAGCGGUGAAAUGCGUAGAUAUUGGGAGGAACACCAGUGGCGAAGGCGGCUCACUGGACCGGAACUGACGCUGAGGCGCGAAAGCGUGGGGAGCAAACAGG